CCCUUAGACGUUCUGGGCCGCACGCGCGCUACACUGACCAGUGCAACAAGCAUCCGUCCUUGGCCGACAGGCCCGGGCAAUCUUUGAACGCUGGUCGUGAUGGGGAUAGACUUUUGCAAUUUUUGGUCUUCAACGAGGAAUUCCUAGUAAACGCAAGUCAUCAACUUGCAUUGAUUACGUCCCUGCCCUUUGUACACACCGCCCGUCGCACCUACCGAUUGAAUGGUCCGGUGAAGCCUCCGGAUUGGCGCGCACCUCGGUGCCGCCGAGAAGUUGGCUAAACCUUACCAUUUAGAGGAAGGUGAAGUCGUAACG
rnacentral:rRNA from 1 species